rnacentral:rRNA from 1 species
UACAGAGGUGGCGAGCGUUGUUCGGAAUUACUGGGCGUAAAGGGCGCGUAGGCGGUCUUGUAAGUCUGGUGUGAAAUCCCUCGGCUUAACUGAGGAACUGCACGAGAUACUGCGAGACUUGAGUUCGGGAGAGGGAAGCGGAAUUCCGGGUGUAGCGGUGAAAUGCGUAGAUAUCCGGAGGAACACCGGUGGCGAAGGCGGCAUUCUGGACUACUACUGACGCUGAGGAGCGAAAGCCAGGGGAGCAAACGGG